CCGCAACGAGCGCAACCCCUGUGGUUAGUUACCAGCCCCUAAUGGUGGGGACUCUAGCCAGACUGCCUACGCAAGUAGUGAGGAAGGUGGGGACGACGUCAAGUCAUCAUGGCCCUUACGUCCAGGGCUGCACACGUGCUACAAUGGAUGGUACAGAAGGUCGCUACUCAGCAAUGAGGUGCAAAUCUUUAAAACCAUUCUCAGUUCGGAUCGGAGUCUGCAACUCGACUCCGUGAAGUUGGAAUCGCUAGUAAUCGCGUAUCAGCAAUGACGCGGUGAAUACGUUCCCGGGCCUUGUACACACCGCCCGUCAAGCGAUGGAAGUCAGGAGUACCUGAUGUCGCCCCGGUAAGGGGUGCCUAGGGUAAGCCUGGUAACUGGCGCUAAGUCGUAACAAGGUAGCCGUACCGGAAGGUGCGGCUGGAUCACCUCCUUU
rnacentral:rRNA from 1 species